rnacentral:snRNA from 1 species
AUACUUACCUGGUAGGGGAAUACCAUAACCAAGAAGGUGGUUUUCCUAGUUGUCGGGGGAAACCACUUUCUUGGCAGGAGAUUAUGCAGUGGGAAGAUCUUGCCUACAUGCC